rnacentral:RNase_P_RNA from 1 species
CCAGUAGACCUGGCGGUCGCGGCUGCAACGCUGAAAAGCGGCAGGUGAGGAAAGUCCGGGCUUCGCAGGACAGGGUGCCGGUUAACGGCCGGUGGAGGUAACUCCAAGGAAAGUGCAACAGAAAAGAACCGCCCGCAGUGCGGGUAAGGAUGAAAAGGCGAGGUAAGAGCUCACCGGCGUCCGGGUAACCGGGCGGCUGUGUAAACCCCACCCGAAGCAACACCGCAUAGGGAGCGCUAUGUUUGUCCGACAGCUCCGAAGGUGGCUAAAGCUGCGCAGUAAUGCGUAUGCGUAGAUAGAUGACCGUCCACGACAGAACCCGGCUUAUGGUCUACCGGCAUU